UCUGCUCCAGAGCUGAAGAAUUGUGUGUCCAUGACUGCCUACUCUGAAUGUUUACCGGCUGCCAAAGACAUGUGCAUGUGCCUGUCAGACAGUGGUGGGUGUGUGUGUGUGUGUGUGUGUGUGUGUGUGUGUGUGUGUGUGUGUGUGUGUGUGUGUGUGUG